rnacentral:lncRNA from 1 species
GACUGGGUAUACAAGUGGGAUUUUCUCAUCGAGGGAGAGGGAUUUGACAGCAUGAGAUUCGAAUUCGGAGAAAGUGUUGACUAGGAUAGCUUUAGCUUCUCGAAGCCUUUUAGAAAGAUCAAGGUACAUUGUGGAACCACCAUCCUUGUCAAAGGCUAUAGAUGGCAAACAUUUAGCUGGAAAUGGGUUUCCAUACGUUGUCACCGAAAGCUCUGCUUCUGGAUCAUCCUUGUAUUCUGUCACGUCUUGGUUAAAAUCAUCCCUGAGAGUCUGCAAAUGAAGCUGAAGACCAAGCAUGGCAGCACCAGACGUGUAGAAAACAUAAGUCGGGAGGCCAAAUUCAUUGGCCACGUCUAUCAUUGCUGUACACAUCAUGUCAAUAACAAGGCCCGCAAGACGAUUUGAUCCUGAAUUCAAGAUUUCAAUCACAGAAUUUCUGACUUGAGGCUUUUGACUGGAUAAAAAUGUGAUGAAAGUUGUGUUUGUGAUUGACUGUAAGAUGGACUCAUAUUGAGGGAGUUCAAUGAACUUCAUUUGAGAGUUGUAGUUUGGAUUUGUCGAGACUGAUUCAAUAUAGGAGCUGAGCAUGUUGUCAGAAGGCAGCUUGAUUACGAGGACUGUAAUGACGAGAUGUUCAUCUCUAGCUAUUAGAACCUUUGCCAUCUCAAGUGUGGGUACUAGGUGGCCCAUACCAGGAACAGGAAUGAAAACCAACUCUGUUUUCUUGUUUACUGACUCCAUGUUUUGUUGCUUGAAUGAAAUUUGUUAUGGCUCAUAACUGGAAGCUUGAUUUGUACUCAUUUUAUAAGAUGCUGAUUUAAAAAACAUGUUAGUGUUAGGUGAGUGAAGACCAAUAGACUUGGGGAGCAAGAGUUAAUGGUAAAUGAUGUCAUGCCUUGGCUGCCAAGUGCCAACUUACAAUUAAUUACAAUAGACUAGUAGGGUGGCUUUUGGGUGAAGCCUUUAGCCCCUCAUUUUCUUGGGGUCCCACAUUCCAUCAAUAAGUUACAUAGUAUAUAGUAAUUAGUUUUCAAUUUGUUUUCUCUGUUGAAGUUAAAAAAAAGUAAAAAGAUUUUCUCAAGUGUUUGUCUUUUGUCAUAUUUCACAUUGCAUUUGCUCCUCCAAAUAUCCCAAGAAGCCAACAAAGGGAUGCCAUGAGAGCAUGGACUGGAUUAAAAGUUUUCCAGGUCCACCAUGGUGAUUAUGUGAAAUAUAUGCAAGGCAGGGGGUGGCUCUUCUUACGCCUUUCUUGGACGAUUCAAUUAGGGAUAUCAUGGAUAAUCUUCACUAACUAGCUCGUAUAUGCCUACACACACCCUGUCAUAGCAAAGCCAUCUUUUUCUUCAAAGCCUAUAACAUCACACACUUAAGGUGAAGGAAAUAAAAAGCAGCAAUGAGUGAAAUCAAGAACGUAGAGUUGGUCAUCAUACCAUCUCCUGGAAUGGGUCAUCUGGUACCCGCAGUGGAGAUGGCAAAACUCCUUAUAGCUAGAGAGGAACACCUCUCCAUCACUGUCCUGGUCAUGAACAUGAACCUCAAACCUUACCUCCGAUCACUUUCCUCAAAUGCUAAUUGCAGCUCAACAAGAUUGAAAUUCAUAAAUCUCCCUCGUGACGAAUCCGCUUUGCUACUCCUCAACAACAAUACCUUCUUUUCUGGGUUUAUUGAAAGGCAUAAACCUCAGGUCAGACAUGUUGUGGCUCAAAUUCUGCAAUCAAAAACAGCCACACUUUCCAGUUUUGUGGUAGACAUGAUGUGUACCAUAAUGAUAGAUGUGGCCAAUGAAUUUGGUGUUCCAACUUAUGUUUUCUACACGACUAGUGCAGCCAUGCUUGGCCUUCACUUUCAUAUGCAGAGCCUAAGAGAUGAUUUGUUACUGAUUGUAACGAUGACCCUGAAUCAGAACUCUAUGUACCUUCGUAUUUAAAUCCAUUCCCAGCGAAAUGUUUGCCGUUGAUGUUCUUGGACAAGGAAGGUGGUUCCACUAUGUUCCUUGAUAUUUCCAAAGGGUAUCAAGAAACCAGAGGAAUCUUGGUGAACACAUUCCAGUAAUUGGAAGCUCAUGUUAUGAUAUCUCUCUGUCUGGACGAGAAAACCCUACCCGUUUAUCCAAUAGGACCAUUACUGAACCUUCACAGUGGCGUCAGUGAUAAGGAAGAGUCGUCUCACGACGAAAUUAUCAAAUGGUUAGAUGGGAAAAAUUCAUCCUCUGUAGUGUUCCUCUGUUUUGGAAGCUCGGGAAGUUUCAACAAGGAGCAAGUGAAUGAAAUUGCGCAGGCUCUAAAGGACAGCGGGUGUUGGUUCUUGUGGUCUCCAAGGAAACAGCCACCAAAAGACUCAUGGUAUCCAAGUGAGUACAAGAAGCUGGAAGAUGCAUAGCCGGAGGGGUUCUUGCAAAAGACAAAAGGGAAUGGAAUGGUGAUAGGAUGGGCACCCCAAGGAGUAAUUUUGUCUCAUCGUGCAGUGGGUGGAUUUGUGUCACACUGUGGUUGGAAUUCAAUUUUGGAGAGUAUUUGGUUCAGUGUGCCAAUGGCAACUUGGCCAAUGUAUUCAGAGCAGCAAGCAAAUGCAUUUCAAUUGGUGAAGGAUUUGUGUAUGGCAGUGGAUAUUAAGAUAAAGGAAAGCAACACAGAUGUUAUAAAAGCGGAGGAGAUAGAGAAAGCAAUAGGGCAUUUGAAGGAUCCUGAAAAUGGAAUAAGGUUGAAAGUGAAAGACAUGAAGGAGAAGAGCAGAUUGGCGCUAAAGGAAGGUGCUUCUUCCUACAACUCUGUUGGGCGUUUAAUCGAGCAGGUUAUGGGCAAUAACUGACUAUGAGCACUUCAUUUUCCCUUUACACUUUGUUUCCAUGAUAUGUUUGAAUAGAUUACAAGGAUACACAUCUAUAAUUUGAAUAAUAAACAUAUAAAAAAAAGUAGGAUAUAAUGUAGAGCUACUAUAAAAAGGUAGGAUAAUAAAACAUGAAAUAUAAUUAUUAAAUAAUAAAUAAAGACAAAAUGAAAAGAAAAUAUUAAGGUGACAACACAAUCACACCAAAUCGGUCUUUACAUAAAAUGGGUCUUUUCGUCGUUAUCUAAUGAUGGAUUUAAACGAUACGAUACAAUAGAAUUUAUAUAACAAUCAAACAAACAUUAUAUUUAAACUAACAAUUAGGAGUGUGCAAAAACAAACCAACCAAUAAAUCGAACCGAAAAAAUGUUAUUGGGUUUUUAAUGGAUUUAUAAAAAAUAAUUAUUGGGUUAUUGGUUCGAUAUCGAUUUUUACUAUUGGGUUAUUUACCUGAUAACCCAAUAAGAUGGUAAUAAGUACUACUUUACCCUUCCAAAAUAUUAGAUAUUGAUAAUUUAAUAUAUAACUAGACACUAUAACUAUAUCAAAUUAUUAGUACUCUACCCACUUCACAUUAGGCCGCUAUACUAGUAAGGGUAUAGCAAUUGUAGCUAUUUGGUUUUAGUUUUAGUCUUGUUGGACUAUUUGAUUUUAGUUUUAGUUUAUAAUUGUAGGUUGUAACUUUUGCAAGUUUGUAAUGGUCUGUUAUAAUUUGAUUAACAUAAGAAAUUUCAUACUAUGUUUUAGUUGUGACAUGUAAUUAUAGCGCCUUCAUACUAUAUUUUAUCUUAUUGAUGCAAUUUGUCAUUAUCUUUCUUGUUUUACUAUAUCAAAGCAUUUAGAGAAGUGAGAAGUCAUAUAAUAUUUUACGGACAUUUUCUUAUUGGGUAAAUCGAAUAUCGAACCGAUAACGACCAAAAACCGAUAAAUCGAAACCCAAUAUAAAUAUCUUAUUGGUUUGUUAUUGGGUUAGCAUAUUUAAAAAUCGAAAAUUGAUAAACCGAACAGAUAAUACAUAAAAUCGAAUCGAACCGACCGAUGCACACCCGUACUAACAAUACAAUACAACGUAACUGGUAACAACCAUCCAAACAAGGGGUUAGAAUAGCCAUUUUACUUGAUUCUUUCAGUUUAACUUUAGCAUAAUAUCUCAUACUAUAAAUACACUGUAAAAAUUUCACACGAGAAUUACAUUACUAAAAUGUGAAAAUUUAUUGUUAUUCAAUAGUCAUGUCGCAAUUUGAGAGAGACUCUGAAUUAGUGAUGCUUACUUAGUUUGUCCAUCACCUGUUCGAUAAAAUGUCCAACAGAGUUGUAGGAGGAUCCACCUUCUUUGAGCACCAAUCUGCUCUUCUCCUUCAUAUCCUUUACUUUCAACCUUAUUUCAUUUUCAGGCUCCAUUAGCUGCUUUAUUGCUUUCUCUAUCUCCUCUGCUUUUACUAUAACGUUCGAUUCGGUCCCUCUCAGAUCCUUCCUAUAAUCCAUCUUAAUCUCUACUGCUAUCCCUAAAUCCUUUACCAAUUGAAAUGCAUUCGCUUGCUGCUCUGCAUAUAUUGGCCAAGUUGCCAGUGGUACUCCAAACCAAAUACUCUCUAAAGUCGAAUUUCAUCCACAGUGUGAAACAAAGCCUCCUACAGCAUCAUGACUCAAGAUAGCCACCUGGGUUGCCCAUCCUAUCACUUUUCCAGUCAAUUCCGUUCUUUGCAAGAACCCCUCAGGCAAAACAUCUUCUGGAUUUUCAUAAGCAGCUGGAAAAAAUGUUUCUUUAGCCAAAGGCUUCUUUAGGGACCACAAGAACCGACAUCCGCUCUUCUCCAAAGCAUAUGCAAUUUCCUUUAUUUGAAACUUCCCAAGCUUCCGAAGCAGAGGUACACUACUGAUGAAUCAGGUUGAUCAUCUAACCAGUUGAUUAUAAUUUGAUGUUGACACAAAUCUUGAUUGUUACUGUGGUCAUUGUCAAGGUUUAACAAGGGUCCGACUGGGUAUACAAGUGGGAUUUUCUCAUCAAGGGAAAGGGCUUUGGCAGCAUGAGAUUCAAAUUCCAAGAAACUGUUUACGAAAAUAGCUUUAGCUUCUCGAAGCCUUCUAGAAAGAUCACAAGGUACAUUGUGGAACCACCAUCCUUGUUAAAAGCUAUAGAUGGCAAACAUUUAGCUGGAAAUGGAUUGACAUAUGUUGUGAUAGAAAGCUCUGCUUCAGAGUCAUCCAUGUAAUCUGUCA